GGUUAAGCGACUAAGCGUACACGGUGGAUGCCCUGGCAGUCAGAGGCGAUGAAGGACGUGCUAAUCUGCGAUAAGCGCCGGUAAGGUGAUAUGAACCGUUAUAACCGGCGAUUUCCGAAUGGGGAAACCCAGUGUGACUCGUCACACUAUCAUUAACUGAAUCCAUAGGUUAAUGAGGCGAACCGGGGGAACUGAAACAUCUAAGUACCCCGAGGAAAAGAAAUCAACCGAGAUUCCCCCAGUAGCGGCGAGCGAACGGGGAGGAGCCCAGAGCCUGAAUCAGCAUGUGUGUUAGUGGAAGCGUCUGGAAAGGCGCGCGAUACAGGGUGACAGCCCCGUACACAAAAGCGCAUGUGCUGUGAGCUCGAUGAGUAGGGCGGGACACGUGGUAUCCUGUCUGAAUAUGGGGGGACCAUCCUCCAAGGCUAAAUACUCCUGACUGACCGAUAGUGAACCAGUACCGUGAGGGAAAGGCGAAAAGAACCCCGGCGAGGGGAGUGAAAAAGAACCUGAAACCGUGUACGUACAAGCAGUGGGAGCACAGGUUUACCUGUGUGACUGCGUACCUUUUGUAUAAUGGGUCAGCGACUUAUAUUCUGUAGCAAGGUUAACCGAAUAGGGGAGCCGGAGGGAAACCGAGUCUUAACCGGGCGUUAAGUUGCAGGGUAUAGACCCGAAACCCGGUGAUCUAGCCAUGGGCAGGUUGAAGGUUGGGUAACACUAACUGGAGGACCGAACCGACUAAUGUUGAAAAAUUAGCGGAUGACCUGUGGCUGGGGGUGAAAGGCCAAUCAAACCGGGAGAUAGCUGGUUCUCCCCGAAAGCUAUUUAGGUAGCGCCUCGUGAAUUCAUCUCCGGGGGUAGAGCACUGUUUCGGCUAGGGGGCCAUCCCGGCUUACCAACCCGAUGCAAACUGCGAAUACCGGAGAAUGUUAUCACGGGAGACACACGGCGGGUGCUAACGUCCGUCGUGAAGAGGGAAACAACCCAGACCGCCAGCUAAGGUCCCAAAGUCAUGGUUAAGUGGGAAACGAUGUGGGAAGGCCCAGACAGCCAGGAUGUUGGCUUAGAAGCAGCCAUCAUUUAAAGAAAGCGUAAUAGCUCACUGGUCGAGUCGGCCUGCGCGGAAGAUGUAACGGGGCUAAACCAUGCACCGAAGCUGCGGCAGCGAACGUAUCACUUAAAGCGAUUCAGCGGGUUACGAUUGACGGAGCGAAGCGACGUCAAAGCGUAUACAAAGUCGAGUCGGUUUAAGGAUACGUUCGUUGGGUAGGGGAGCGUUCUGUAAGCCUGCGAAGGUGGCCUGUGAGGGUUGCUGGAGGUAUCAGAAGUGCGAAUGCUGACAUAAGUAACGAUAAAGCGGGUGAAAAGCCCGCUCGCCGGAAGACCAAGGGUUCCUGUCCAACGUUAAUCGGGGCAGGGUGAGUCGACCCCUAAGGCGAGGCCGAAAGGCGUAGUCGAUGGGAAACGGGUUAAUAUUCCCGUACUUGGUGUUACUGCGAAGGGGGGACGGAGAAGGCUAUGUUGGCCGGGCGACGGUUGUCCCGGUUUAAGCGUGUAGGUGUGUGUUCCAGGUAAAUCCGGUUCACUUUAACACUGAGGCGUGAUGACGAGGCACUACGGUGCUGAAGCAACAAAUGCCCUGCUUCCAGGAAAAGCCUCUAAGCAUCAGGUAACAUCAAAUCGUACCCCAAACCGACACAGGUGGUCAGGUAGAGAAUACCAAGGCGCUUGAGAGAACUCGGGUGAAGGAACUAGGCAAAAUGGUGCCGUAACUUCGGGAGAAGGCACGCUGACACGUAGGUGAAGUGAUUUACUCAUGGAGCUGAAGUCAGUCGAAGAUACCAGCUGGCUGCAACUGUUUAUUAAAAACACAGCACUGUGCAAACACGAAAGUGGACGUAUACGGUGUGACGCCUGCCCGGUGCCGGAAGGUUAAUUGAUGGGGUCAGCGCAAGCGAAGCUCCUGAUCGAAGCCCCGGUAAACGGCGGCCGUAACUAUAACGGUCCUAAGGUAGCGAAAUUCCUUGUCGGGUAAGUUCCGACCUGCACGAAUGGCGUAAUGAUGGCCAGGCUGUCUCCACCCGAGACUCAGUGAAAUUGAACUCGCUGUGAAGAUGCAGUGUACCCGCGGCAAGACGGAAAGACCCCGUGAACCUUUACUAUAGCUUGACACUGAACAUUGAGCCUUGAUGUGUAGGAUAGGUGGGAGGCUUUGAAGCGUGGACGCCAGUCUGCGUGGAGCCGACCUUGAAAUACCACCCUUUAAUGUUUGAUGUUCUAACGUGGACCCGUAAUCCGGGUUGCGGACAGUGUCUGGUGGGUAGUUUGACUGGGGCGGUCUCCUCCUAAAGAGUAACGGAGGAGCACGAAGGUUGGCUAAUCCUGGUCGGACAUCAGGAGGUUAGUGCAAUGGCAUAAGCCAGCUUGACUGCGAGCGUGACGGCGCGAGCAGGUGCGAAAGCAGGUCAUAGUGAUCCGGUGGUUCUGAAUGGAAGGGCCAUCGCUCAACGGAUAAAAGGUACUCCGGGGAUAACAGGCUGAUACCGCCCAAGAGUUCAUAUCGACGGCGGUGUUUGGCACCUCGAUGUCGGCUCAUCACAUCCUGGGGCUGAAGUAGGUCCCAAGGGUAUGGCUGUUCGCCAUUUAAAGUGGUACGCGAGCUGGGUUUAGAACGUCGUGAGACAGUUCGGUCCCUAUCUGCCGUGGGCGCUGGAGAACUGAGGGGGGCUGCUCCUAGUACGAGAGGACCGGAGUGGACGCAUCACUGGUGUUCGGGUUGUCAUGCCAAUGGCACUGCCCGGUAGCUAAAUGCGGAAGAGAUAAGUGCUGAAAGCAUCUAAGCACGAAACUUGCCCCGAGAUGAGUUCUCCCUGAGACUUAGAGUCUCCUGAAGGAACGUUGAAGACGACGACGUUGAUAGGCCGGGUGUGUAAGCGCAGCGAUGCGUUGAGCUAACCGGUACUAAUGAACCGUGAGGCUUAACCUUACAACGCCGAAGAUGUUUUG
rnacentral:rRNA from 1 species